GUAGUCCACGCCGUAAACGAUGGAUACUAGCUGUUCGGAGCAAUCUGAGUGGCUAAGCGAAAGUGAUAAGUAUCCCACCUGGGGAGUACGUUCGCAAGAAUGAAACUCAAAGGAAUUGACGGGGGCCCGCACAAGCGGAGGAGCAUGUGGUUUAAUUCGAUGAUACGCGAGGAACCUUACCAGGGCUUAAAUGGGAGACGACAGGACUGGAAACAGUUUUUUCUUCGGACGUCUUUCAAGGUGCUGCAUGGUUGUCGUCAGCUCGUGCCGUGAGGUGUCAGGUUAAGUCCUAUAACGAGCGCAACCCCUAUUGUUAGUUGCCAGCGGGUCAUGCCGGGAACUCUAACAAGACUGCCGGUGCAAACCGUGAG
rnacentral:rRNA from 1 species